rnacentral:rRNA from 1 species
UACGUAGGGUGCAAGCGUUAAUCGGAAUUACUGGGCGUAAAGCGUGCGCAGGCGGUUAUGUAAGACAGUUGUGAAAUCCCCGGGCUCAACCUGGGAACUGCAUCUGUGACUGCAUAGCUAGAGUACGGUAGAGGGGGAUGGAAUUCCGCGUGUAGCAGUGAAAUGCGUAGAUAUGCGGAGGAACACCGAUGGCGAAGGCAAUCCCCUGGACCUGUACUGACGCUCAUGCACGAAAGCGAGAGGAGCAAACAGG